AACGAACGCUGGCGGCGCGCCUAAUACAUGCAAGUCGAGCGAGAAGACGUAGCAAUACGUUUGUAAAGCGGCGAACGGGUGAGGAAUACAUGGGUAACCUACCCUCGAGUGGGGAAUAACUAGCCGAAAGGUUAGCUAAUACCGCGUACGCUCCUUGGACUUCGGUUCAGGGAGGAAAGCGAUACCGUGGGUAUCGCGCUCUUGGAUGGGCUCAUGUCCUAUCAGCUUGUUGGUGAGGAACGGCUCACCAAGGCUUCGACGGGUAGCUGGUCUGAGAGGACGAUCAGCCACACUGGCACUGCGACACGGGCCAGACUCCUACGGGAGGCAGCAGUAAGGAAUAUUGCGCAAUGGGCGAAAGCCUGACGCAGCGACGCCGCGUGGGGGAUGAAGGUCUUCGGAUUGUAAACCCCUUUCGGGAGGGAAGAUGGAACGAGCAAUCGUUCGGACGGUACCUCCAGAAGCAGCCACGGCUAACUUCGUGCCAGCCGCCGCCGUAA
rnacentral:rRNA from 1 species